AGUGAACGCUUGCGGCGUGCUUAACACAUGCAAGUCGAACGAGAACGGAUUAUAGCUUGCUAUAAUUGUCAGCUAAGUGGCGCACGGGUGCGUAAUGUAUAGGUAAUAUGCCUCUUACUAAGGGAUAACAAAUGGAAACGUUUGCUAAUACCUUAUACUCCUUAUUAACAGAAGUUAAUAAGGGAAAGAUUUAUUGGUAAGAGAUUAGCCUGUAUUGUAUCAGUUAGUUGGUGGGGUAAUGGCUUACCAAGACUAUGACACAUAACUGGUUUGAGAGGAUGAUCAGUCACACUGGAACUGAGACACGGUCCAGACUCCUACGGGAGGCAGCAGUGGGGAAUAUUGCACAAUGGACGAAAGUCUGAUGCAGCAACGCCGCGUGGAGGAUGACACAUUUCGGUGCGUAAACUCCUUUUAUAUGAGAAGAUAAUGACGGUAUUAUAUGAAUAAGCACCGGCUAACUCCGUGCCAGCAGCCGCGGUAA
rnacentral:rRNA from 1 species